CACCAAGUAUUGGAUUGAUUGCCCUCCCAUAUGGAACAUGAUCUGAGUUUAGUUCAUCAUGAGAAAGAUGCACAGAAAUCUUAAAGAAGCCAAGACACAACACAAGGGAUAAAGGUCCUGUGAUCAGACAGGCUCAUGACACCUCUUGAAGCACAAUUGCCACAAUACUGCUGGAGCAACAUUGCUGUGGCUGAGCAAACAGAAGCAAAGCAACGGAAAGCAAAAUGAACAGCAUUUAAAGGUUCUGAUUAACCUGUUGAAGAUUAAAAUGAUGGGGAAAAAAAACAACCUGAUGUUACAGAUCAAUGCAUUUCACAGCCAGGAUAAAGGCCACAUAAAUACUGGUAAAAACAAAUUUCGAUGGUUUCAAACACAUAACAAUUUUGGCCCAAGCAGCACUUCCUGCAGCAAAA